rnacentral:piRNA from 1 species
UUCAGCUUAUACUUCCACAUUGUAGUCU